rnacentral:rRNA from 1 species
UGAACGCUAGCGGCAGGCUUAACACAUGCAAGUCGAGGGGUAUGCCGAUUUAUCGGCAGAGACCGGCGCACGGGUGCGUAACGCGUAUGCAAUCUACCUUUCACAGAGGGAUAGCCCAGAGAAAUUUGGAUUAAUACCCCAUAGUAUUAUGAAAUGGCAUCAUUUUAUAAUUAAAGUCACAACGGUGAAAGAUGAGCAUGCGUCCCAUUAGCUAGUUGGUAAGGUAACGGCUUACCAAGGCAACGAUGGGUAGGGGUCCUGAGAGGGAGAUCCCCCCACACUGGUACUGAGACACGGACCAGACUCCUACGGGAGGCAGCAGUGAGGAAUAUUGGACAAUGGGCGCAAGCCUGAUCCAGCCAAUGCCGCGUGCAGGAUGACGGUCC